AUCAAAUCAUACUAAACUCGUGUGCCAGGCUUCACGGUUCCGGAUGCAGAAUACAUGCAAGAAUAUGGCAGCUUGGCCGUAAGACUCACAUGCUCCGGAAACUUCAAAUAUAUACAACCUGAAGUAUAUACACUGAGUGCACAAAACAUAAUGAACACCUUCCUAAUAUUUAGUUGCACCCUUUUUCCCCCUCAGAUCAGCCUCAAUUCGUCGGGGCAUGGACUCUACAAAGGGUCAAAAGCAUUCCACUGGGAUGCUGGUCCAUAUACUGUACAUGAUUCAUCAAGCCCUUCUCUGCCAAGGCAGAGUUAGAGGAAGAUAUGUAGCCUGGCAAAAGCAAGUGACAUGGGCUGCACGUCAUCCAGGCUACCCAUCAGAGGACCCAGAGGACUUGCAGGUGACCAAGCGUUUCCAGGCCUUCUGGACUCCCCGGAAGAAGUCCCGGAUGCCUUUCCUCAUCUUGGAUAAUUUAACUGGCAAGAAGAUGAAAAUAUGUAAGAAUUUCAGAUGGACAAUUGUCUGAAAAAACAAUAAUUUAUUUUAUACUUUAUUUUAUUUUUUUAUACUUUAUACUUCUUUAUAUAUAAUUGUCAAAUAAGAACAUUUCCCACCAGGAAUACUCACUCAUAGGUGGAGAAUCCACAAGUAAUGUACAUCUCUGGCUGGUUUGUAGUGUCUGUAAGGACAAUGCUCAUGUUGGACUGUGAUCAGAAUUCAAGAAUGCACAAUUCAAUGCACAAUUUCACUUCCUUUACAUAUUCUUAUAAUUAUACAACUAUAUUUACUGGUGCCGAUAUCAAAAAGCACAACCAAUGACCAUUCAAGAGUAAUCUGAGCUUGUCUUACGUUUCUGUUGGUGGCAUAAUGCACCCCCUCAGAUUCCGCAUCCUCCAAAUCAUUACUGCAUGAGUCUUCAAGGUCUGAGGUCUCACGGUCAUAUGGGUUGGAAACUGAGGGUUUCAAGAUGGCCAGUAGCUUGUGGGAAACAAUGACAGAGACAAUGGAAAGCAUCUCCUGAUCCUCAAAUAAAUCGUAAAUUUUCAAGGAGCGUUUUAAACGCUUGAACUUCCCAAGGUCAGUGGAGAUGGCAUCUGCCAGCUUCGAUGUCAUCUUAGAAUUGAAACUUUUUUUGCUGCCUUUCCAUUUCCUCAAUCAGAUAUUUGGCCACCUCCUCAUCAAACAAUCGGAUCAGCUCAGUCACCAGAUCACUGAUCUGGAUGCGCUGACGCUUGUUGGUCCUUUUUGGCAUACGGCAUAUCUUCUGGACAAGCUUCAUCAGGACUUCUUCUAAUAUAAGCUCCCUAAUGAAGCUGGUGGAACCGGAUGUCACUUGUUCCACAGUGGACCACUCNNNNNNNNNNACGCUACUCUCCCUAGGAGUGGCCGUCCUGCAAAGAUGACUUCAAGAGCACAGCGCAGAAUGCUCAAUGAGGUUAAGAAGAAUCUUAGAGUGUUAGCUGAAGACUUAAAGAAAUCUCUGGAACAUCCUAACAUCUCUGUUGACGAGUCUACGAUACGUAAAACACUAAACAAGAAUGGUGUUCAUGGGAGCACACCACGGAAGAAGCCACCGACUGUCCAAAUAAAAACAUUGCUGCACGUUUGAAGUUCACAAAAGAGCAUCUGGAUGUUCCAGAUUCUGNNNNNNNNNNCAUCUCUGUUGACGAGUCUACGAUACGUAAAACACUAAACAAGAAUGGUGUUCAUGGGAGCACACCACGGAAGAAGCCACCGACUGUCCAAAUAAAAACAUUGCUGCACGUUUGAAGUUCACAAAAGAGCAUCUGGAUGUUCCAGAUUCUGUGAAGAGAUGAAACUAAAGUUGAGUUGUUUGAAAGGAACACACAACAUUAUGUGGAGAAAAAAAAAGCAACGCACAGCAAUAUCAAAACCUCAUCCCAACUNNNNNNNNNNUCCAGAUUUUUGGUGCCUUGAAGUUUGGAUGGUGCAUCCAUAAUUCCGUUCGUGACAAGACAGACAAUGUCCUUGUGCAGCUUGGGUGCCUUGUGGCACAGUAUCUUCUGUAGGGCUUCCUCUGUGCCAUAGCGUUGCAUCAACUUGCUAUGCACAGACAGCACCAACUGAAAGAUGUCUGUUGCCUUCAGGCAGACAUUUGCUUCCCUCCACCUUCACCCUCACAUAGUCACCCUCACCCACAGAGCACUGGACAGCUUGUGGUCACAUCCUCAACUAGCGUCCAGCUGGCCAGUUUAUCCUGGGUACGAGGAACAGUCAGAGACCGCAGCCGGACAAUGAUAUCCAUCACCACCUCUACAUGAACAAUAAUAUACACCGGUUGGGAUGCCUUCACCUCAGCCG
rnacentral:lncRNA from 13 species